UACGUAGGGGGCGAGCGUUGUCCGAAGUUACUGGGCGUAAAGCGCGCGUAGGCGGCUCUUUAAGUCUGGCGUGAAAGGUUCAGGGCUCAACCCGAACAGUGCGCUGGAGACUGGAGAGCUUGAGGACGGGAGAGGGAAGCGGAAUUCCGGGUGUAGCGGUGAAAUGCGUAGAUAUCCGGAGGAACACCGAUGGCGAAGGCGGCAUCCUGGACCGACACUGACGCUGAGGAGCGAAAGCCAGGGGAGCAAACGGG
rnacentral:rRNA from 1 species